AACUGAUUCUGUAAAUGGGUGCUGACUGGCUGACAUGUACAUGACUUCUAUUUUCCAACCAAUAAGAGACGAUUGAGGGCGUGCUGGAUUGCCCUUAAAUUGUCCCAUCAGCAAUAUGGACGAUACGUACCUUAAUGUCUUAACGAAGCCGAUGGGCGAAAUGCGUUGACGUAACACGUACUGACGUCAUCAGUGGACAGCAC